rnacentral:rRNA from 1 species
GAUGAACGCUGGCGGCGUGCCUAAUACAUGCAAGUCGAGCGAACAGACGAGGAGCUUGCUCCUCUGACGUUAGCGGCGGACGGGUGAGUAACACGUGGAUAACCUACCUAUAAGACUGGGAUAACUUCGGGAAACCGGAGCUAAUACCGGAUAAUAUAUUGAACCGCAUGGUUCCAUAGUGAAAGACGGUUUUGCUGUCACUUAUAGAUGGAUCCGCGCCGCAUUAGCUAGUUGGUAAGGUAACGGCUUACCAAGGCAACGAUGCGUAGCCGACCUGCGAGGGUGCUCUGCCACACUGGACCUGAGACACGGUCCAGACUCCUGCGGGAGGCAGCCGUAGGGAAUCUUCCGCGAUGGGCGAAAGCCGGACGGAGCAACGCCGCGUGAGUGAUGAAGGUAUUCGGAUCGUAAGACUCUGUUAUUAGUGAGGAACAAAUGUGUAAGUAACCAUGCACGUUUUGACGGUACCUAAUCAGAAAGCCACGGCUAACUUCGUGC